AUUGACCUCGGAUCAGGUAGGGAUACCCGCUGAACUUAAGCAUAUCAAUAAGCGGAGGAAAAGAAACCAACAGGGAUUGCCCUAGUAACGGCGAGUGAAGCGGCAACAGCUCAAAUUUGAAAUCUGGCUCCUUUGGGGUCCGAGUUGUAAUUUGUAGAGGGUGCUUUGGCGUUGGCUGUGGUCUAAGUUCCUUGGAACAGGACGUCACAGAGGGUGAGAAUCCCGUACGUGGCCGCCAGCCUCCGCCGUGUAAAGCCCCUUCGAUGAGUCGAGUUGUUUGGGAAUGCAGCUCUAAAUGGGAGGUAAAUUUCUUCUAAAGCUAAAUAUUUGCCAGAGACCGAUAGCGCACAAGUAGAGUGAUCGAAAGAUGAAAAGCACUUUGGAAAGAGAGUCAAAAAGCACGUGAAAUUGUUGAAAGGGAAGCGCUUGCAGCUAGACGUGCCUUGGGUUGAUCAGCCGGGCUUUUGCCCGGUGCACUCUUCCUUUGGCAGGCCAGCAUCAGUUUGGGCGGCUGGAUAAAGGUCUGUUAAACGUGACUUCCUUCGGGGAGAGCUUAUAGGGCAGACGACAUGCAGCCAGCCCGAACUGAGGUCCGCGCAUCUGCUAGGAUGCUGGCGUAAUAGCUGUAAGCGGCCCGUCUUGAAACACGGACCAAGGAGUCUAACAUCUAUGCGAGUGUUUGGGUGUCAAGCCCGAGCGCGUAAUGAAAGUAAACGGAGGUGGGAACCCUUUGGGUGCACCAUCGACCGAUCCUGAUGUCUUCGGAUGGAUUUGAGUAAGAGCAUAGCUGUUGGGACCCGAAAGAUGGUGAACUAUGCCUGAAUAGGGUGAAGCCAGAGGAAACUCUGGUGGAGGCUCGCAGCGGUUCUGACGUGCAAAUCGAUCGUCAAAUUUGGGCAUAGGGGCGAAAGACUAAUCGAC
rnacentral:rRNA from 1 species